AGAUGGCGAGAAAACGUGAUGAAAGGGAGGCUGCGCAGCUACCCCGGGAACUCGGCUCUUCGUGGUAUGUGAGAACAAGUUUAGCGUACAAGCAAACGUACACUUUUAAAUCAAAAUUUAAAUCCUGCUUGACAACGGCUUGACUAUAAAUGAUGUGAAAAUAAAUGAAAGCAGACUUAAGAUGCAAUGUAUUCUACGUACUAGUGAUUGAAAUGUAAUGCUUAUUUUUAUAAAUUUUCUUUUCACCCAAACCUCGCUCGUUAAAGUUAUAGCCAAAGAAAUCGCGAAUUAUCUCUAAAGCGAAAAGCUUCUACUACACCCUAUAAUCAGCGGCUACUAAAUUUUUACCGUCGCGCAUUAUUUGUUGCUUCGCUACAGCUCGCUGAAAAAAGAAUCGGAGUAUACACUCGAGGGGUCUGAAAUUAUUAUUCACGCGAGAGGCGACAUUCGCAAGAAGAACUGAAACGAGCAAAAACGCGACGCCGCGAAAACGUUUCGGCGUCAUAAAAAUUACACCGGACAGAGGUGUUAAAACGAGCCACGGCGCAUCGAGAACUGUAUAUGCAAGUAUACAUGAAUAUCUGCCAGCCUGUUCUAAGCUCUCAGACACAAAACUCAUGCUACGGAUACGAAUUUUCUCUCUAAAAGCGUUCACUUUAGCUUGCCUCUUUCUUUCUCGCGUGACGUGCAACAAGUACACUUUGUUCAAAUGAUGUCUGAGAUCGUUCGCCCCUAAACUCCCUCUGAUCUUUCACAAGAUUACGAGAACAACGUAUAUUAUAAAAUAGAUUUUUUUUUAAUUUAACGUUCAGCAUUGCGACGAUUUGCAUGAUAAAGUAACAAUUUGCCUAUCUUGUCGUCGAAUAGCGAACGAGAAAUACGCACGCUCGUACGUGCGUGGGUAGCAGCAGCCGGAGGAUCGGUUUUCAUCGGACAAAGUCGAGCCUACCUUCAACCUAUGCUUGUUAGUCGUCAUGCUACCAAGAUAAUCCUUGAUCUCUAAGUCAAGCGUCAUCGUUAGAGUAAGCCUAUGUCGGCCAUUGUCUUCGUAACGAUAGCGAUCAAUCGGUAUGGUUCGACGCCCUGGCGACACCAUAGGUGAUCCUUGCUCCAAUCUUGGAUAUCGCGGCUUCAUCGUUCUGUGUCACGGCCGUUUCCGCAUCUGGAUGCGGGCAUCAGACCGGAUUGACAGAGUGGCAGUAACUCGGUAGCUGAAAAUGGGAGUGGCUGGAAGACAAGAGGACAACUCGCUCAAAGACAUCUUCGUGGCGCCUCUACGCGACUGCAAGGAAUGAAGGAAACCAGUGGCUCUCAGCCAUUAGACGGAUAUCGGAUCGGAGGCGAGGAGAUCCUCGUGAGAUCCAUGUCCGUGUCUCGACAAGGUGGACCAACGCAGAUAGGACCCAAGCCCGAGAUACAUCCCCGGUCGGGGGAGGCCUCGCGAGGCAGGAGAGAAAGGGAGAAAGAGAGACACCCACGCAGGUGGGACCACACACGACGGUCCCGUCAUUUGUUGGACACUGCAUGGGCAUGUCGUGUUCCACGGACACGAGGUACACAGCAUUGUACACUUCUUGGCGCUGUCCCGCGGCGUGUCGUAUCGCCAGCGGGCCGUGCAACUUUAUGGCCGAAGCCGAUUGCGUGCGACUCGAAUAGACGCAAAGGGGGAGGCAGGGAGAUGGGGCGCAAAGAAGGAAGCGGGCUCUGGCACCUGAGCGCGCGAGACGAAUGCGACCGUAAGAGGAUUAUAAUUUAAUUUAUUAUGUUAAUAUGCCGGUUCGCGCGUGAGAGGGGCGCGUGUAAAGACGAAAAUUUCAAAUACAUUUUUUUUCUUUUAUGGUAUCUCAACGAAAUAAAGUUCAAUUAUUCUGGCUAUGUAGAUCUUGAUCUCGAACUCGCGGUAAUAUUCAUCCCGUUAGCCUUUACCGAGCGAGACAUAAAAUGUAAAAUUGAUCGAAGUUUCUCCGGGAGAAACAAAUUCUCGUAGAGAACAAGAACAAGAGAAGCCAACCAAAAAAAUGACCUCUGUUGCAAAGAGAGGCCGUAAAUGCUAGCUUCUUGUUCUCUUGAGGGAAUAAAUUUUGUAAAGAAAUGCACACUAGCAUACAUAUGUAGAUAACAGAAAGAGAAGACGUUGCGGAGGAGAAUGCGAGAUAGAUGCGUACCGGUAACCCGACGGGCAGUGACUUGACCUCGAGGAUACAUUAUUGAUAGUGGUGCACGCCACAAGAAUGGUGACUAGAUGGUAAUUUUCGAUGGGACGAAAAAGGACGACGGUAUUCCGUACGCUUGGUUCCCGUAGGAUUAACGUCGCAGAGAACGUCGUGACGCGGUAGGAAUCUUGGAUUAGCUCGCGGUGUCGGAGCCUGUAUCUACCGCACUAGAUCGAUGAUCCAUGACAGUUUCGAUAGAUCGAUGAUAAGCAUCUUCACGUAACGUUGUAAGAAAGCAAUUUUAACAUCGAGCGUUCUUUUCUUUGCGGCAAAAGGUAAAAAAAAAAAUGCAUUGAAAGAAUAAAAUUAAAGUGAAUGUAGCUUCUCGUUUUCUUUGGACGUAAAAAUUUUUCAGAUUUAUUAGCUAUCUUUAGAAGGAUCAGCUUCUGAACAGCGUCUCGGACAAAAUUCUUCGUCGAAGUGGUGGAUUACUUCCAAAAAUUCGAAUGAUCGAUUGACAGCUUUCUCUCGGAAUGCUGUAACAUGACUAACGCGAGAUUCCUGCCUUGAAAAAAACGCCAUCGUGCGUAAAGCCACGACGUAUCUUCCUCGGAAGAGUCGGGUAGUUCGAUCAAAGUCGAAGCAAGACCAGGAGCAAUCCUUCGGCGGCGCAUGAAAGAUAUCCAUCUACAAUGAUGCUAAGGACCGAAGGACCAGGCAUUUGUAAUCCUGCGAGUGAGGCCGGGGGUCGUGGAAGGGACGGCCGUGCAGCCCAAUUUAUAUAUUGCGUCCCGGAGACGUCGCCGAUUAAUCCUGAAGAAGUCGCGGGACCACCCAAGUGAAACUAACACCCUUUCUCGCCCUGUUCCCUGACACCGGUCGCGCGUCGUAAACGUCGUUUCGUCCUACUUUAACACUGCAGCUUAACUAAACGAAGUAGAUGCAGCUGCCCCUUCUUUCCUCUAUUCUGUAUCGACUCUAAUCGUUCAGGGACGAUGUCGCACCAUAAAGUGAUGAAAGUCGGGCGUUAUAAGAAGUUUGAGUAGCAUAAAAAUCGAGCUACGAAAGAUGCUUGUCUUAAAUUAUCUUAAUGUCAAAGAAAGGCGAAAGAAACGAUAAAAAUGAAUAAGAUAACGCUAAAUUCGCAACAAUUCUCAAAUGUAAAUUGAUAUAAAUUUAAGGCGGCGAUUAAAACGAAUUAAUUGGCCACAAGUAACCAGAAAGAUACAAUCGGCGUAUCUUACCUUCGAGUUACGUUAUAUGCACGACGUUUCGUUAUUUUUUUGCGGUACUUUACACCUACAGUCGGACGUCAUUAUGAUAAUAUUUCGCGAGGCCCACAUCUUUUUUCUCAUUACGCGAGCGCGCACAGGGGGGCGGACGAAAAGGCAGGGGCUGAGAGGGAGGACGAGAGUCCCGUCCGCUAAUUUGAAUAUUGAGUUGCGGGGGUGUCGGUAACGGGCAGCUGCACAACUCGCAUAAAACAUAAAACGUCUCUAGAACCAUUCGCUCCUCCAGACAGAGGAACGUGGGUGCGCUUGAGUCAAGCCAAAUACUUACUCCUUUGAGUACCGAAAGGUCUUUUGACGAAGGAUGCCCGAAAGACAAAACGCUCGCGUGUCCCGAACAAAUUCUCCGAUGAAACUCGUUUGUUCUUUGCUGACUGAUAGGCGAUCGCGUGUAUUCGUACAUCAACGAAAGAUUUAAAAAAAAGAAACUUGUCAUUUCAAAAUAUAAUUUUACACAAAUAAAAAUUAUUUAUAAAUAACUGUAUGUCCUUCAUCUCAAACAAAAAGUUAUUUUGUGACGUAUGUGUAUACACUUUAAAAAAGGCAAGAGAGAUCAUCGAGCGUUUCAAUUUAUUGAAUUUAUCAGUGAAGAUUAUUCAUCUUUACGAGACGUGUUUAAUCGAUUCCAAGAAAUCUCUCGUUAAUAUUCCUCAUCAAACCUGUUCGUGCAUCAAAAUCGCGGGACUGUGGACACGCGUGCAUGUAAGUAUAAAUGCGUCUUACACGAAAAAUCUUCGUGCCAAGGAGUUAAAGUUCGCCUCAUGGUCAAUUAGCGACUUUUUUUACAUCAACUCGCGUAUAUACCUGCCAUUGCAGCAUUGUGCUCAUAUGAUCAACCGCUUGAGAGCAUAAAUCGUUCACAUGCAUUUUACUUACGCUGGCGAAGAAUUAUUUUUAUCCUCAACAAGGCCGCUUGUGUGCAUAAAAAAAGUACUUAGAACCUUUAGCAAAUUUAGCUCGCAUGCAUAUAAAUAUUUUCCUUGCAGGUCAACAAAGUUGAUGCUGCGCAGCUCAUUAAAAUUGUAAUAUCUGCCAAUUAAUAAAAACUAAAAUUUCUAGACAAAAUCUUUUUGCCGCAAUAAUCGAAUCUUGAUUUGCGAUCGACACGCUUCGUCUUUCCUUCUUCCUUCACGAUCCUGAAAAUUAGAACUUCGCAAAUAUUAUUCCCAACCCUAUCCACGGACGUAAGUGAUGAUACGACUUUGUCGUGAAGGGAUUCUCACAAAAAGCCCAAUCAUUCAGCCAGGAACGUAAUGAAUGGCCAGCAUUUACAUACGAAGAUGGCGAGUAUCUUAUUACAAGGGAACCGAGGGGGUGGGUUACGUUUCGUUCGGUUAAGCUCGACUGAACAAUGCUCCACCGAGGUGGCCGUGGAGGUAAUACCCGGACGACGCGUUGCUGAAGACAUGAUUAACAUUCGUUAAUAAGAUGGAUGCGCGUGACGGGCAUUGUUGACCCGUUGACAUUGGGUGUGAUUUAGGUGCCUGGCUCGUACUCGAGGCUGCCGGAUCUACUACUAGCGCGAAGAGAAAGAGGAGGAAUCGCUCGCCAUUGUUCGUCGCGUUUUUUUCAUUGCCUCGUUAGAGAAUGCGCCAGGUCACCGGAAAACAAUUGAGUAACACUCUCGUAGGAGUACGUUUUUGAAAGAUUAUAUUUUGAUCAUCCGUUAUAGUUUUUGUUCUCCAAGUAAAUUUACACGUCACUUAACAAGAUAAAAUGUACACUUAGCAGAAGAAAAAUAAGAAGAAUAUAUAAAUGUACGUGCUUCGUCAUGAUUCUUGUUUUGUUUUCAAGUCUUCAAACGGAAAAUGAACGAACCAUCUUGAAAUCAUACGUCGUUCACAUUAUUUCUACACUGGCAAUACUCCAUUAGUAGUAGAGCAGAUGGGCAAUCUUCGAUCUACUCCGCGCACAUUAUGUUCACCUUCAGCGGGUCGAUCGCUCGUGAUGCAAUUUUCUUCCAUGCGUACGUAACGAGAGUCCAUAAGUAAAACGGAAUAACGCGAAAGCAGGCAGAAGGACACACGUAUGCGAGGCGCAAGCGGUGUCCUUUACGCGGAUAGAUGGUUUCGCAUAAUUAUCGUAAAGGAAAAAUCAUUGUGCGCCAUAUGCCGCGCGUGGAGGGUAAACAGCAACGCGGAUAGGCAAGUAUGCGUUCAUGUCGGCUUCGAGGUACAUUAAACCCUUGCCUUACGCUAUCACAUCGGCAACAGCUGCUAUGCGAAGCUCGCUAUCACCGCAUCUUGGACCCUGCGAGAUGGAGGCCUGCUUCCUCCGUGGAAAAUACACGCGUUCACACGCGAUCGUAUUAAAAACUAAUAACGUAAUUUUUACCUUUAAAUCGCAAGUAUUUCAAAACUUUACAAAGUAUUGGACGAUACAUUGUGUUAAAAUAAAAGCGUGUCUACGAGAACGUAAGUAUCCAGCCACUCUAUGCACAACAAAUAUUUUUUGUAGUAUCUUGAGACAGCGAACACGCCGCUUCAAUGAAGAGCUCAAUCGACGAUGAUUUCUAAAUCUUUCACACGCGACCACCGGUUGAUGGGACGUGUACCAGGCUUAACUAAUGUGAAUGGAUUGUCGGAUAUGAAUACACCCGCAUGAGAGGGUCUAUUAUGGAAAUUCAUGUGAACACACAACGCCCCCAUAACGCGACCCAGCAAGAUCGCACCUGGCAGAGAUCGAAGUUCACUCGCGAUACACCCGGUACCAUCGUCAAUGUGUGAUAUAUUUGUACUUGCUUCACUUAUAAAAACGUUGUCUUAUAAAAUUCAGAUUAAAUGGAGCGAUCAAUUGUCAACUCUAAUGAGAUAAUAAAAUGUUCUAUAUUCCACCGCAUCAUUUGAAAUUACUUUCUAAUCUCUGUUGUGCAAAUAAUUUCAAUAAAUAAAAGAUUGGACGUACAUGUUUUUAUUCCCACGAUUUGCCUCGUCGGACCGUUGCAAUUUAUAUCAAUCGCCGAUAUCCAUUCUGACGGAAAAAAAAUGUCCCACGUAGCGAAGCGUGUGUCACCGAUACGUAUUGGAGCGAAUUUUGUUUGUUACUCUUGAGAGUUGUUUUAACGAAAAGUGUCCUAGAGGCAUGUUGGUAUCGAGUUUGUUCGCGCGUUCAAGUGAAAAUCAAUGGAAAUGUAAAAAUCAAUGAGAGCGCACAGCGAGCGAUGUUGUUCCGCGUUCCCACCCUCACGUAAACCCCUCACUCUCAAUAAAUUUCCCCCCCGGGGUUCGUGCAAUCCUCGCGCAUCGCUAGCUCUCUUCGUGCUUCCGACCAGCGAACGUAGCACAUACGUGGUGAUUGAGAAAGAUUCAGCAAAAAGUGGACCGCGCAUUGACGCCUCCGGCGCCGCUCUUCGACGCACGUCAAAGUAUUGUAAGAAAUAAGAUUUACGAGGCAGAUACACCACGGUUUCAAGGUUGUUGAUCGUAUUCCGACUCCGACGCAAUAGCUAACGUUGGCGCACGUACGAUAAAAGCAAUCACGAUGUCACAGACAAAAAAAUUGCAAUUGAUUACGUGCGAUAUUCGCUU